AUUGAACGCUGGCGGCAGGCUUAACACAUGCAAGUCGAGCGGUAACAGAGAGAAGCUUGCUUCUCUGCUGACGAGCGGCGGACGGGUGAGUAAUGCCUAGGAAUCUGCCUAGUAGUGGGGGAUAACUUGCCGAAAGGUAAGCUAAUACCGCAUACGUACUACGGGAGAAAGGAGGGGACCUUCGGGCCUUUCGCUAUUAGAUGAGCCUAGGUCGGAUUAGUUAGUUGGUGAGGUAAUGGCUCACCAAGACCGCGAUCCGUAACUGGUCUGAGAGGAUGAUCAGUCACCCUGGAACUGAGACACGGUCCAGACUCCUACGGGAGGCAGCAGUGGGGAAUAUUGGACAAUGGGGGGAACCCUGAUCCAGCCAUGCCGCGUGUGUGAAAAAGGUCUUAGGAUUGUAAAGCACUUUAAGUUGGGAGGAAGAGCAGUUAACUAAUAUUUGACUGUUUUGACGUUACCGACAGAAUAAGCACCGGCUAACUUCGUGCCAGCCGCCGCAGUAA
rnacentral:rRNA from 1 species